UUCAGCUGCCUCCACACGGGGUAUCUCAUCAUGCACUGUUCACCAGAGGUACCUGAACUGUUGCCCAGGGAUAGCAGGAAGAAGGGAAGGCCUACAGAAGACCUUUGUACUUCUCAUCUGUCAGCUGAAGACCAGAUGGAAUUAUUUAAGCACUGGACACCUGUGUUUGGUUUGUUGCAGUCCAGUGACACGUUUCACUUGCUCAGAGCUUUUCUCUAGAACAGUCAUGACGAUGUUAAAUCAGUUGGAAGACUUACUGUUCACAGCAGUAUCUGUGCACCACCCACAGCAUUGAACUUUUUUUAUAAUUCUCAUUUAGGUUACAAGAAGCAAAGAAACAUUUUGCAGUGGAGUGAUGCCAGUUUUCACCACCUGGAUUUGUGUGUUUAAUAUUAGUUAAACUAAGCCAAUACAGAACUAUAGGUGAGAGAACCUCAUGUCAGUUCGUAGCAAUAUUAUGGACUAUGUUCUUUUUUAAUUCAUUUCCAAGUACAUCAAAGACAAGGAGACAGUUUGAGGCAUGCCUUCUAUGGUCAAAUACUUUCAGUGCUGGAUGAGCAGGGAGUAGUAGAUGCAAUAUUUUGACUUCAGUGAGGUUUUUAUACUGCUUCUGUCAAUAUCUUCAUUUAGAAGAUGCAUCCUGUAGUGACACCAAUUUUCUUCAUGGAAAAAGUUAACCUUGAGGAGUAGUUUAUCUUCUUGUAUACUUUGGUUAAUAAUCUUUCUUCUACUUUGAUCAAUAGCUUUUUCUUAGCACACUGAUCUGUAUUUGUCCAGAUUUCCUCAGACAUGAGUUCAGUUUGUAAGCUUUUGUUUGCACAUACAUAAUAUAUAUUUAUGCAUUUAUUUGACUAUUUAUUGCAUUUUUUUUUCUGAAAUAAAUUAUAGCCAGUGAUAUUUAAAGAUGAGGGCUUUUUUGGCAAAGAACAGUGUGCAAAGAUCUAGUAGUGUAACUGAUGAGAUGAAAUACACAGUCUAAGUUAUUUAUAUAAUUGUCAUUAAUACAGCAUCUUAAUUUGUGUUUUCUAUUUGAACCUCUUAAUGACCCUUUUUUGCAUUAUUGGAAAAAUCCUAAACCAUGGUAAGUUUUUUAAGUGAUAACAUUAACCUUUCAUUGUUUUC